rnacentral:lncRNA from 1 species
GUGGUCAACUUUUUCUUAAAAAACACCCCCGUGCGUAGGAUGGCCCGGCGUCCGGGUCCGCAACUGCGUCCCCGGGCCGCGUGCGUCCUCAUGCCCUCCCGGCGCUGCCCCUCCUUCCCUGGGCCGCCCUCCACCGUAACACGUGCCGGAUCCGGGAACAUUGGCCUCCGCCACCCCGCCCAGCACCGGAUCCAGCCACCGGAGGCGGCAGCAUGGC